UCCAGGCUGGUGUCCCGGAAGCAUCAGCAGCCUGACCCUGGACUCCCUCCCCAGGCUCCUGCCCAGCUCCAGAAUAAAGCACCCCCUUUGCCACCCCAAGGCUGGACUCCACGUCUCCAUCACCGGGCUUCAAGGCCAGAGUGAAGAGCUGAUGGAGUGACUUUGUGAAUAUUAAAGAAAACAACGAAUAGGAAGUUCUUGGAGGAGUUUGAGCACGGCGAGGACUACUGAUGCUGUCCCCUCCACACGGGCCCAAGAAGGGACAGGAGGUCCCCUCUCCUUCCUGGCCUGCUCAGCCAGAGCUGCCCCUUCAGCCCCAGCCCUGAGGAGCUCCAUGAAGCAGAAAGGGGUGAGGUCACCUGAAGAGCACACGAAGUGGCUGCAUCCCUUCCUCGCCA